ensembl:snoRNA SNORA70 Small nucleolar RNA SNORA70
AUUCAGCUGAUUAAGCCGAAAGUGCUAUCUGCCUCCUGGAGCCUGAUGUGCAAGGGCUGAAGAAAGCAAGUAGCUCUUCUGCAGAGCAGACAGUCCGUGACUUAUUUGGACUGUUCUAAAAGACCUGUGUAAUAAUC